AGUAUGAAUGGAAUUGAGUGGAAUUGGAAAUUUAGCAUAUGGCCUUUGGAUAACCUGAAAGGAAGUUUCAAGAAGAGCUGGCUGCUGUACUUUUUGCCUGUUGCUAAUGAAUGGAAAAAUUCUUCAGCAUCAGUCUCUAACAGAAAGGUUACCUUCCCUGCUGGUCACAGAUGGUGGAAAGUGAUUUUAUUGAUAUGUUAAUAUUUGGCUAGGAGGACUACACCUAGCAGUAAUAAUGUAGUCAGACCCUGGGACAAAUCACCACUCAGAUUAGUAGAGGGUCUGUGUCUUUAACUGACUGUGACAUUAUGAUAUUUACCACCCUUUCAUAGUGAUUUGCUUUUUAACACCACCUUAAUCUGUUCUGAGCCAUCUGUUGGUCAUUCAAGUUUCAGUUUCCCUCAUGUGCUGGAAUAGCUGAGUGACUUCACUUUCUGAGCAAGAUAAAAGAGACUGAAUUCAGACAUUAUCAGUGAAAGUUUUGGUGGUCACAGUACUGCUUAGUGGUUUUUCUUUUUAAUUUAUGUUACCAACUUGUUUCCUGCAGGAAAUCUCCUGGGGGGACACAAGCAGAUGGCCACAGUAAUUCCUCUCAAAUUCAAAGGGUCAUGAAGGUUCAUAGCCCUCAGAAUUUGUGCAAGAGGUUAUUAGUGUGGCUGGCUGAGAGCUGGUCCCCCUCCUUAUUCCAAACCCAGUGAGUCUGGCAGCAAGAAGCAUUGAGCACUGCCAGCAUAGAUUUUUUUCCUUUGGUUCGUGCCCAUGAGACGAUCUCUCUAGAAACUAGAGCUGUUUCCAUGCUGUGACCUCGUCAGAAGCGUGACUGAGAGGUCUGAGUGUCAGCAUGUGUUAAUAGUAGCUUACAUUUUAUUUGAAAGUGCAGUUUUCUCCGUUUUUCAGCUUUGCACUUCUAAGUAGCCUGAAUGAUUUCAUUCACUGAUAUGCACACAUUCGAACUGGGGACCCUUCAGACCGCUGGUCGGAGCUCAUAAGCAUGAGCAAAAGCAUGAGUUCCAGCCAGUGGAUUACAUGCAGAUAAUCUCUUGUAGAGAAGGGCUGUUAAUUAUCAGAUCCCCCAAAUGAAGUUGUG
rnacentral:lncRNA from 1 species